rnacentral:rRNA from 1 species
CCUACGGGGGGCUGCAGUGGGAAAUAUUGGACAAUGGGGGGAACCCUGAUCCAGCCAUGCCGCGUGUGUGAAGAAGGCCCUCGGGUUGUAAAGCACUUUCAGUGAGGAAGAACGCCUGGUGGUUAAUACCCAUCAGGAAAGACAUCACUCACAGAAGAAGCACCGGCUAACUCCGUGCCAGCAGCCGCGGUAAUACGGAGGGUGCGAGCGUUAAUCGGAAUUACUGGGCGUAAAGCGCGCGUAGGUGGCUUGAUAAGCCGGUUGUGAAAGCCCCGGGCUCAACCUGGGAACGGCAUCCGGAACUGUCAAGCUAGAGUGCAGGAGAGGAAGGUAGAAUUCCCGGUGUAGCGGUGAAAUGCGUAGAGAUCGGGAGGAAUACCAGUGGCGAAGGCGGCCUUCUGGACUGACACUGACACUGAGGUGCGAAAGCGUGGGUAGCAAACAGGAUUAGAUACCCUAGUAGUC